rnacentral:rRNA from 1 species
GACGUAGGAUGCAAGCGUUGUCCGGAAUUAUUGGGCGUAAAGAGUUCGUAGGUGGUAUGUUAAGUCUGGUGUUAAAUCCCGAAGCUCAACUUCGGAUCAGCACUGGAUACUGGCAAACUAGAGUGCAGUAGAGGCAAGGGGAAUUCCUAGUGUAGCGGUGAAAUGCGUAGAUAUUAGGAGGAACACCGGUGGCGUAAGCGCCUUGCUGGGCUGUAACUGACGCUGAGGAACGAAAGCCAGGGGAGCAAAUGGG